rnacentral:rRNA from 1 species
GCGAGUAAAGUGGCGCACGGGUGAGUAACGCGUAGGUAACCUACCCCCCGGGACCGGGAUAACAGUGCGAAAGUGCUGCUAAUACCGGAUACGAUUGUGGAGCGGGAGCUUUGCGAUGAAAGUCGGCCUCUCGCAGAAGCCGAUGUUCGGGGAUGGGCCUGCGUCCUAUCAGCUGGUUGGUAGGGUAACGGCCUACCAAGGCGACGACGGGUAGCUGGUCUGAGAGGAUGAUCAGCCACACUGGCACUGGAACACGGGCCAGACUCCUACGGGAGGCAGCAGUGAGGAAUUUUGCGCAAUGGCCGCAAGGCUGACGCAGCAACGCCGCGUGGGUGAAGAAGGCCUUCGGGUCGUAAAGCCCUGUCAGGUGGGAAGAACACCAUGGGGACGAACAAGCUUCAUGGCUGACGGUACCACCAGAGGAAGCACCGGCUAACUCCGUGCCAGCAGCCGCGGUAAUACGGAGGGUGCGAGCGUUAUUCGGAAUUACUGGGCGUAAAGCGCGUGCAGGCGGUUUGGCAAGUCUGAUGUGAAAGCCCCGGGCUUAACCUGGGAAGUGCAUUGGAAACUGCCGGACUUGAGUACUGGAGAGGAAGGGGGAAUUCCCGGUGUAGAGGUGAAAUUCGUAGAGAUCGGGAGGAAUACCAGUGGCGAAGGCGCCCUUCUGGACGGUUACUGACGCUGAGACGCGAAAGCGUGGGGAGCAAACAGGAUUAGAUACCCUGGUAGUCCACGCUGUAAACGAUGAGCACUAGGUGUAGCGGGUACUCAUUCCUGCUGUGCCGCAGCUAACGCGUUAAGUGCUCCGCCUGGGGAUUACGGUCGCAAGACUAAAACUCAAAGGAAUUGACGG